rnacentral:rRNA from 1 species
GCCCAGCCGUAAACUUUUAUCUACAUCUCAAUCGCCAGGGAACUACGAGCUAAGCUUAAAACCCAAAGGACUUGACGGUACCCCAAUCCCCCUAGAGGAGCCUGUCCUAUAAUCGAUAAUCCACGUUUAACCUCACCAUUUUUAGUUAGUCAGCCUGUAUACCUCCGUCGUCAGCUUACCACGUGAGCGAGAAUUAGUGAGCUUAAUGUUUUUUCACCAACACGUCAGGUCAAGGUGCAGCAAAUGAAAUGGGAAGAGAUGGGCUACACUUUCUACUAUAGAAAAAACGAAAAACUACUUAUGAAACCUAGUUAGAAGGCGGAUUUAGCAGUAAAAAGGAAUCAGCACGUCCAUUUUAACUCGGCACUGGGGUG